GGAGCAUGUGGUUUAAUUCGAUGCAACGCGAAGAACCUUACCUACUCUUGACAUCUAGAGAAUCCAGCGGAGACGCAGGAGUGCCUUCGGGAACUCUAAGACAGGUGCUGCAUGGCUGUCGUCAGCUCGUGUUGUGAAAUGUUGGGUUAAGUCCCGCAACGAGCGCAACCCUUAUCCUUGUUUGCCAGCGAGUAAUGUCGGGAACUCCAGGGAGACUGCCGGUGAUAAACCGGAGGAAGGUGGGGACGACGUCAAGUCAUCAUGGCCCUUACGAGUAGGGCUACACACGUGCUACAAUGGCGCAUACAGAGGGCAGCAAGCUAGCGAUAGUGAGCGAAUCCCAAAAAGUGCGUCGUAGUCCGGAUUGGAGUCUGCAACUCGACUCCANGAAGUCGGAAUCGCNAGNAA
rnacentral:rRNA from 1 species